UGUGUGUGUGUGUGUGUGUGUGUGUGUGUGUGUGUGUGUGUGUGUGUGUGUGUGUGUGUGUGCUGUCACUACCCCAGUUCUGGCCCUGAGGCUCUGAGUCAUCUUUCUGCUAGAGGUCACCCUGGGUUGUUCACUUUUAAGGCGAAUUUCCUGCAAUUCAACACAUUUUGCCAUGGCUUAUGCUAUCUGAGUGCCGUGUCUUGACAUUUUGGGAAUGUCAGAUUCUCCCUGACUGUCUAGUUUUAUUUUGGUGAUUGUUAGUUCUCAAAGAUGAUCUUAUUAAAAUAUAUUGCCAUAUUAUCUUUUCUACAUAUUUUAUAUCUGGUUAUAGUCGUUUAAGUUUACACUGACAAUGUUUUACCAUCCCGAAAAUUAUAUACAUUUUAUAUCCGUAUAUGAAAGUAAAAAGACAUGAGAAUUUACCCCAAUCCUGCUAUCAAACUAUUAAACCAGGCUGACAACAGAAUCCCACAUGUGAUUAAUGAUUUUGUGAGUGUUCCAGGGUAACCCAGUGAUGUAAUGAUGUCGUGAGUGUUCCAGUGUAACCCAGUGUUGUAAUGAUUUUGUGAGUGUUCCAG
rnacentral:lncRNA from 1 species